UUUAUUAACAAAAUAAUGGGCAGUAAGAGAAGUACUGAAUUCAAACUGCUACAUGUUGCAACAGUGUGGAAAGAUCAACAGAAAAGGAGGUACCCCAGUCUCCAUCUCAUGGCCCUUGGAUAGAAACCUUAAAUAAAAUCUCCCAGUUACUAGCAUACAUAUGGUUGCACAAUGAAAGUAUGAAAACAGAAUGUAAGGAUUUAGAGCUACCCUGCCUAAAAUUCCCAUCUCAAGUUUCCAGUAUGUUUUUUUUAAACAAUUGAGGAUGCCAUUGAAAUUCUAUUUGAGUAUUUUUUAUAGAAAAUUACUAUAUCAAAUUCAGUGUCUGUUUAGUAUUGAAUGCAAAACAAGAUUCUUAGACAAUUCUCAUAUAAAUUCUUUUAGGAAAUAAUGAUAUUUUAUUAACCAAAAAUUGUCUCAAGAUAUCAAUAUUAUUUUAUACUCUGACAAACCAUUUUAUUGUAUGAUUUAAGGCAAAUAUAUACUGGCCAUGUUUUCUGCUGUAUUAACUAUAUUGUGAAAUACAAAACAAUGUAGCUUCUACAGAUUUGUACUGCAUUUUUGAAAUGGAUAUGAAAAUCAAGGUGUCUAAGUCCUUCAGAUUGCUGCGGCUUCAACUAAGAAGCCUUAUACAAGUAUUUCAGGUGUCAUCAGGUUCCCAAUGAUGUGUGUGAUAGUUUGUAUAUGCUUGGCCCAGGGAGUGGCACUAUUUGGAGUUGUGGCCUUAUUGGACUAAGUGUGUCACUGUGGGCAUGAUCUUCAUUGCCCUCAUCCUAACUGCCUGGGAGGCAGUCCUUUCCUAGCAGCCUCUAGAUGAAGAUGUAGAACUCUCAACUCCUCCUGCACCAUGCUUGCUUGCACUCUGUCAUGCUUCAACCUUGGUGAUAAUGGACUGAAGCCCCAGUUAAAUGUUAUUCUCAUAAGAGUUGCCAUGGUCAUGUUGUCUGUUCACAGCAGUAAAAUCAAUGUGACUUAAGAACUGCUCUGAAUACAGAAGUGGAUGCUCACAGUCAUCUAUUGGAUGGAACACAGGGUCCCUAAUGAAGGAGCUAGAGAAAGUACCCAAGGAGCUAAAGGGGUCUACAGCCCUAUAGGAGGAACAACAAUAUGAACUAACCAGUACCUUACCCCCACCCCAAGCUGUGUCUCUAGUUGCAUAUGUAGAAGAGAAUGGCCUAGUCAGCCAUCAAUGGGAGGAGAGGCCCUUGUUAUUGCGGAAGAUCAUAUGCCCCAGUACAGGAGAAUGCCAGGGCCAGGAAGUGGGAGUGUGUGGGUUGGGGAGCAGGGCAAGGGGAGUGUAUAAAGGGCUUUUGUGAUAGCAUUUGAAAUGUAAAUGAAAGUAUCUAGUAAAAAUGCCUUAAAAAAUAAAGAACUGCUCUGAAGAACAAUCUCAUGCUAACAUAUUUGUAAACUGUAUUUUAAUUUAUGUAUUUCCUUUGCAAUUCUAUACAAAUGAAGUUUGGUCUUGGUUUUGUUAUAGUUAAGGGAAGUCAGAGUAUCAGAUGGGGAUUAUUUUUGCCAACAACAUGGUGGAUGCUGCUAAUGUUCACUCUCCUAAAAGUGUUCUUCUGUGUGGAAGACAAUUUUGAGUGGAUGUGGUAAAAGGCUUUGGAACAAAAAAAUAGUACUAUUUCUCAGUAAAUANNNNNNNNNNNNNNNNNNNNGUAAACAUUGUAUAUCAAUUUGUUUUUAACUACUCUUACAUUCUCUUCAUAACAUUACCAUUAUAUAUUGCAAAUUAUCCUGGAAUUUUAUAAGACUGUGAAACAAAACUUCAAGAAUUAUUUGCUAUUUUGUUUCCCCAGAAAACAAAACUCUGGAACUUCAAAGUACAGUAUCAUAUUUAUGCUACUUGCUGUAGCAGUGAACAACUCUGAUCACAUCUCUCAAAAUCACUAUUACUAUUCUUAGUGGAGCACUCUACAAGCUGGAUAUAAAGAUAUAAAUGAUACCGUAUGGCCUAAGAACAGGCACUUUUGUGGAGUUCUGGUAUUGUGUGUAAGAGAAGUGAACUAAUGAUAAAAUCACGGCGAUAUUACUUCUUUCUCCCAACAAUAUUUUCAAUAGUAAUCCAGGCUAUAAAUGUAAUAGCAGGUCUAACACUACUGGCAAUAUUGAGUUGAAAUGGCAAAUUGCAAUGCUAGGAAAAUUGUUAUCAGAGGGAUUGAUUUACAGUGGUACUAAUAUCUCAAGCUCCCAAAUAAAUGUUCAAUAAAAUGAUGCUUCACUAUUGUGCAAGCUUUGUGAUAAUGAUUUACCCAAGAUAUAGUACUUUAAAACCUCUAGCCAUCUUUCAUAUGUUAGAGCAAAAGCGAGAAAUAAAAUGAAAAUCCAU
ensembl:processed_transcript A230059L01Rik RIKEN cDNA A230059L01 gene